AGAGUUUGAUCCUGGCUCAGAAUGAACGCUGGCGGCAUGGAUUAGGCAUGCAAGUUGAACGCUCUCUUCGGAGAGAGUGGCGAAAGGGUGAGUAACGCGUGAGUGAUCCGCCCCCAAGACUGGAACAACUGUUGGAAACGACAGCUAAUACCGGAUGUGAUUACAUAACUGCAUGGUUUUGUGAUUAAAGAUUUAUUGCUUGGGGACGAGCUCGCGUCCCAUUACGCUUGUUGGUAAGGUAACGGCUUACCAAGGCUGUGACGGGUAGGUGGUCUGAGAGGAUGGUCACCCACACUGGGACUGAGACACUGCCCAGACUCCUGCGGGAGGCUGCAGUCGAGAAUCUUCCGCAAUGCGCGAAAGCGUGACGGAGCAAUGCCGCGUGAAGGAUGAAGGCUUUCGGGUCGUAAACUUCUGUCAGGGGGGAAAAAUAUUGAUGGUACCCCCAGAGGAAGCCACGGCUAACUACGUGUCAGCAGSCGSSGUAAUACGUAGGUGGCGAGCGUUAUUCGGAUUUACUGGGCGUAAAGGGUCCGUAGGGGGACACUUAAGUCUGAUGUGAAAUUUCAAGGCUCAACCUUGGACCUGCAUUGGAAACUGAGUGUCUAGAAUUCGGUAGAGGUAAGUGGAAUUUGUGGUGUAGCGGUGGAAUGCGUAGAUAUCACAAGGAACAUCAAAGGCGAAAGCAGCUUACUGGGCCGAUAUUGACCCUGAGGGACGAAAGCUAAGGUAGCGAAAAGGAUUAGAUACCCUUGUAGUCUUAGCCGUAAACGUUGUACACUCGAUGUCGGGGGAAUUAGCCCCUUCGGUGUCUAAGCUAACGCGAUAAGUGUACCGCCUGGGAAGUACGGUCGCAAGACUAAAACUCAAAGGAAUUGACGGGGGCCCGCACAAGCGGUGGAGCAUGUGGCUUAAUUCGAGGCAACGCGAAGAACCUUACCUGGGUUUGACAUAUAUUUGACCGCUCUCGAAACGGAGCUUCUCUUCGGAGCAGAUAUACAGGUGCCGCAUGGCUGUCGUCAGCUCGUGCCGUGAGGUGUUCGGUUAAGUCCGGCAACAAGCGCAACCCAUAUCAUUAGUUGCCAACAGGUAAUGCUGGGGACUCUAAUGAGACUGCCCGUGUCAAGCGGGAGGAAGGCGUGGACGACGUCAAGUCAGUAUGGCCCUUACACCCAGGGCUGCACACGUGCUACAAUGGCGACUACAGAAGGCAGCAAUACCGCGAGGUGGAGCAAAUCCGAUAAAAGUCGCCCCAGUUCGGAUUGGAGUCUGCAACUCGACUCCAUGAAGUCGGAAUCGCUAGUAAAGGCGUAUCAGCUACGACGCCUUGAAUACGUUCCCGGGCCUUGUACACACCGCCCGUCACAUCAUGGGAGCCUGGUGCACCCGAAGCCGCCGUACCAACUGCUUGCAGAGGAAGGCGUCGAAGGUGUGCCCGGUAACAGGGAUGAAGUCGUAACAAGGUAACC
rnacentral:rRNA from 1 species